UGGUGUGGGCCAUCUCCAAGGAGACAGCCAGGCUUAGUCCAGAGGGCAUCCCCUACUGUGCCACCAAAGUGCAGUCCAUCACUUGGAUCCAGCGUGUGGCUGGCAGGGUGACCCACUAUGCGUCUCACCUCCGCCACGAGACGUCUGUGGACGUGACGCUUGGCUGCUACCAGCAGACUGAUGUCUCAGUGGUGUACGCCACUCUCCACAUGGGGCUGGACG